rnacentral:rRNA from 1 species
UACGUAGGGUGCGAGCGUUGUCCGGAAUUACUGGGCGUAAAGAGCUCGUAGGUGGUUUGUCGCGUUGUCCGUGAAAACUCACAACUCAAUUGUGGGCGUGCGGGCGAUACGGGCAGACUGGAGUACUGCAGGGGAGACUGGAAUUCCUGGUGUAGCGGUGGAAUGCGCAGAUAUCAGGAGGAACACCGGUGGCGAAGGCUGGUCUCUGGGCCGAUACUGACGCUGAGGAGCGAAAGCGUGGGGAGCGAACAGG